GGCCCUAUGAGUGUACAGAAUGUGGG
rnacentral:piRNA from 1 species